UGGCUUAGUUGGUAGAGCAUGGUGUUUGCAAUGCCAGGGUUGUGGGUUCGAUUCCCAC
rnacentral:tRNA from 1 species